rnacentral:rRNA from 1 species
GUCCACGCGGUAAACGAUGACGACUAGGUGUGGGGGGGUUCAGUCCCUUCCGUGCCGCAGCUAACGCAUUAAGUCGUCCGCCUGGGGAGUACGGCCGCAAGGUUGAAACUCAAAGGAAUUGACGGGGGCCCGCACAAGCGGUGGAGCAUGUGGUUCAAUUCGAUGCAGAGCGAAGAACCUUACCUGGGCUUGACAUGCUGGAAGUAGGAGUCUGAAAGGGCAACGACCUGUUGAGUCAGGAACCAGCACAGGUGGUGCAUGGCUGUCGU